rnacentral:rRNA from 1 species
GACGAACGCUGGCGGCGUGCUUAACACAUGCAAGUCGAACGGAAAGGCCCUGCUUUUGUGGGGUGCUCGAGUGGCGAACGGGUGAGUAACACGUGAGUAACCUGCCCUUGACUUUGGGAUAACUUCAGGAAACUGGGGCUAAUACCGGAUAGGAGCUCCUGCUGCAUGGUGGGGGUUGGAAAGUUUCGGCGGUUGGGGAUGGACUCGCGGCUUAUCAGCUUGUUGGUGGGGUAGUGGCUUACCAAGGCUUUGACGGGUAGCCGGCCUGAGAGGGUGACCGGCCACAUUGGGACUGAGAUACGGCCCAGACUCCUACGGGAGGCAGCAGUGGGGAAUAUUGCACAAUGGGCGGAAGCCUGAUGCAGCAACGCCGCGUGCGGGAUGACGGCCUUCGGGUUGUAAACCGCUUGCGCCUGUGACGAAGCGUGAGUGACGGUAAUGGGUAAAGAAGCAACGGCUAACUACGUG